CCCUCUCACGACAUGUGGAGAUUAUGGGAACUGCAAUUCAAGAUGAGAUUUGGUUGGGGACACAGCCAAACUAUAUAAACAUCUAACAGGAAUCCUUGGUUAGAGCUUCUGCAUCUGCUUGCAGAUGGAAGAAGAGAGUGAGAAAGAAAAGUAGCAAAAUUCAAAUACCUGUGGCACGUUCAAGUGGGAAAGUAAAGAAGAAAAAGCCCAUACUGCUUCAGUCUUUUUUGAUUAUAUUAAAUAUCCAAGUUUGUGUGACGCAAUCCCAAGUAAUAUUGGUAUCACUGUACUAUGAGCUAUAAGAGAAAUGUUUUAAACUUCCUAUUUUAAGGAAUAGUUUUUUAUUAUCAUGGCUUAUAAUUUGGUUAAUUAGCUUGUUUUCGAAACAAGGGUUCUAUUCAGUGGUUGCCAGGUGUAUUCCAUGUAAUUUAGAAGAGUUCGCCUCUCUAAAUACAUGGGUGCUACUGACAAGGACUACUCAACUUGUGAAAGUCCAACUUGCAAGCAUCCUUAAUAUCAUUUCAGGAAAAAGUCACCUAGCCAAAUUUUUACAUAUAUAACAAUAUAACAAUAAUAACACUUAUUGAAACUUCACUAUAUGACACACCAUGUCAUGAAUGAAGCAUAUGGAUUAUUUUACUUAAGCCUUACAACUGCCAUGAGAAAUACUGUUUUAGUCUUUACUAUGACAGUUGGAAAUGUACUUUUUUUUCAAUGUUGGGAACAGACAGAACUUCAACUCUGUAUUCUACUUGAGCCUUUUUCCUUUCUCCACUUAACUCCUCAUUCCACUGUAGCUUAUAGAGACUUCUUUGGAGAGUUAUUAUUUGGAGACAAAUUGUAAAAAAAGAAUGUCACAAUUUUUCCUGCUGAGAACAUGCUUUUGUUUUACAAGUAAAAAUUCAAAGUUAAUUCCCACAAAGAAAUAAAGGUUAAAAUAAAAGUUAA
rnacentral:lncRNA from 1 species